AGACAUAGGUACUGGAAAAUAAAUCAAAGCUUCCUCCUUCUCUCUGGUGCCCAAAAGCUCCUCAAAUCUACCAACCCCAGAAACUUACUAUUCAAGCAACAUCAGUCAACCCUUGAUCUUAGAACAAGGUAUGAUGGAGGAGAAGAGAAAACAAUAGUUUGCAUAUCCCCUUCCCCCUUCUCAGUGGAAAAGUGGAAAGACCAGGCUUAAAGAAGAGAUGCUGAUUUCUGACUGAGUUCUCAGGGAACACUUCUCUGCCAUAAAAUUUUCCUUCACUUCCCAUUCCUUUCUCUUUCCAGGGGAAGCUUCUUCAUUCAACUGUCUGUUCUCUGGGCUGAAAGUUAACUUUCCUUUGUCUGGCCAGACCACUCUGAACAUGCCACUGUACCCUGCUCUGCUAUGCCAGAGUUCAAGCAGAGAAGCUGCCAAUAUGCCCUUUAUCAGAGGAAGGGAGGCAGUCUCUCAAGGGAACUCUGCUUACUGAGGUAGAGACUCCUAUAGCAGCAAAUGGCACAUACUGCCCUCCCUUGGAGACCUCAGAGAAAUCUUUUUACUAAGGCUGCAGUUACAGAAGAGCAAAAAGGAAGGGAUUGAGAGGCAGGUCCUGACCAGAGAGGUCUCAAGUCUCAGAAGAGUACCUGUAAGGACAAGGAAAAGGUUGCCUGUCAUGAGGGCUUAAUUAACCGGCCCACCUGAGAAGGAGGGUGCUGGGAAAAUGAAAGGGGCAAAUCUUAUAGACAACUGAAUACAUAGGAGGGUGUAGAAGGAAAGUGCUCCAAAGCUGAUGACAAGGCAGGCAGGAAACCUCCUUGUCUGUGCUGACAGGAAAGGAAGGGUGAAAUUCUGGGUCUUGUCUCUGCAGGAUUUCCAAUAGGCAUCUGAAGUUCCCGCUCUUCCCAAGGGCGUGCUGACAGCUGGGAAUACUGCCCUUCAGGUCAGGCAGGGCAGAGAUCUAGACCUCUCAGGAGGUCACCAAGAGGUUCAGCAAGGACUUAAGCAUGAGCCCAUACACAAAUGGGACUGCCAUUUCCUGUUGGGUUUCCAUGCUAUAAAAAAGUGGGGGAGAAUUGCCAACUACAAAGUGCUCUCGCUGUCUUUUGUGGAAAAUGGAGUAUGCAAUGUAUCCAGCUCCAGAUUCUGACUUGUAAAUCUAAAUGAGAACUAACUAGUUGCUAGAUGUUGGAGGCUUACAGUAUUAAACAGACAUCCCUCCACCCUCACCUGCUAGCAUUUCUGCUUGCUGUUCAUGGAUUUUCAGGGAGCUGAUGACAAAAUUGUCUUGAGCUAUCAGAGCAAGGGCAGUCUUGGGCUUUGGCAGCUCCUUCUGAACACCAGUUCACUGUCCUGAGUUCUUAAACAGCUCUGAUGGAACAAGCCAUCUGUGAGGGUUAUUUAACUUGGAGCUGGAAGACGGUGAGGAUGUGGAAAAAAUAAACUGUGCAGCCAAAGGAUAGGGCCUGAGCAAGAAGGCAGGUGGCAUGUUCAUGGAAGUGUGUGCCAGGGCUGAGAGUUGGGUGAAAGGAAUGGUGCCGAAAGGAGGCCAGCAUGGGAAGGACUGAAAUGCCCAGGACAGUAUGGUUUUAUUUCAAAAGUAAUGUUUUGUUGUUUUCCUUCAAGGGCUCACUUGUGGGUUUCUGUUUCUAGGAGAAUCCUGGGAUAUCUGACUGUAGCACACUUGCCCUGCCUUCUGCAAAGCUACCUGAAGCCUGCCUAACUUCUUGCUGGACCUAAAUCUUAGCCUACAAGAGUCCAGCUAAACUGUGGAGGCUGUCCUUGAACUUAAGAUCCUCCUGCCUCAGCCUCCCAAAUUACUGGGAUUGCAGUGCUGGUGAUUGAACCAGGGUAUGAACAUGCUAGGCAUGUGUUCUACCACUGAACUACACUCCAAGCCCUAUUUCUGGUUAUUUAUUAAAUCUUUCCAAGACUGACAGGAAGAACUGGUAAAGGCAGAAAGAAAAGCAAAGAGGAGAAAACUCCUGAAGAUGACCCAAGUCCAUCAGUCAUGCUCAAGUUCAGCAGGCCUGGGAGUAGUCAGCAACCACAUAUUCCUUAGUCAGGUAGGGUCUCAAAGGACAAAAGGCUGGACACAGAGGGCUGCAUUUGUGACACAAAAGCACGUGAAAAGAAUAUGUAUGUAUGUGCACCUAGUCUGCAUGCUGCCCAGGAAAUACAUUUCUUUUCUCCCAAGACCAUACUUUCCAAACAUUUUAAAGUGUCCCACUGAACGUAUUCAAUAAAUAUUAAGCAUCUGCUAUGGUAUGGCAGGCCCUAUUAAAGGCACAAAAAUUUAGCAAAGGAUAAAACAAUGUUCCUGCUCUCAUGGAGCCUAAUAUUCCUGUGAGAUAGAUAAUCAGAUAGUGGUGGGAAGCACUGUGAGAAAAAUAAGGCAGGAUAAGAAGGACAGAGUAUCUAUCUGGGUGAGGAAGAAAUAUUGUUAUUUUCUAUAAGAUAGACAGGGACAGGAUUUUAGAUGACAAUUGAUCAGGAGUGAGCCACAAAGCAGAGAGGGCUUCCUGGGUUGGUAACUGGAGUGCCAGGGAGUCUACACACUAUUACACAGUAUAAAGGAAGGAGAACUAGCUUUUCUAGCUCAGUUCAGUGAGAGAAGAGGCCUUUGAGAGAUUAUGCAGCUUGCACACCCUCCAUGUAGUUUCUGGAAAGCUUCCAUCACACAUGAGAGUUUUAUGUUGAAUUUUAAGUUUGACCACAAAUAUUUAAACUUCCCUGGACCACAAAUACAGUAUCUUCUCUGUGGUUUAGCUGGCACCAAGUACAUGUUAUGAAUCUCUAUAUGUCUGCCUGUUAUUUAAAUUUCUUACAGAAGUGCCAAGGUCUUUAGUUGUGAUUUACCUUCUUCCACUCCAUACUGGUGGGUAUGAACCUUAAUCAGGCCUAAUUCUUAAGGAAAGGAGAAAUAUUUACCAUUGAAGAUUAGAUUUUUAAAAUAUAUUUUUUAAAAAUCUAUUUUUUAGCUAUAGUUGGACACAAUACCUUUAUUUUAUUUAUUUAUGUGUGGUACUGACGAUCGAACUCAGGGCCUCAUACAUGCUAGGCAAAUGCUCUACUGCUGAGCCACAACCCUAGCUCCUGAAGCUUAGAUUUUUAACUAUGAAGUUAAAUUUCCCCUUAUUACUUUUCUCUUCAAAAAAUGUCAAUGGAGGGUCUAUUUUAAGUUCUUAUAUUUGAAAUAAAAUAUAAAAAUUGAAAAA